GAAAUAGAUACCCCGGGUAGUCCACGCUCGUAAACGAUGUCAACUAGCUGUUGGCUAUAGUGAAUAUAGUUAGUGGCGCAGCAAACGCGAUAAGUUGACCGCCUGGGGAGUACGGUCGCAAGAUUAAAAACUCAAAGGAAUUGACGGGGGCCCGCACAAGCGGUGGAGCAUGUGGUUUAAUUCGAUGCAACGCGAAGAACCUUACCUACCCUUGACAUACAGUGGAGCUUGCAGAGAUGUGAGUGUGCCUUCGGGAACACUGAUACAGGUGCUGCAUGGCUGUCGUCAGCUCGUGUCGUGAGAUGUUGGGUUAAGUCCCGUAACGAGCGCAACCCUUAUCCUUAGUUGCCAGCACGUAAAGGUGGGAACUCUAAGGAGACUGCCGGUGACAAACCGGAGGAAGGCGGGGACGACGUCGAAGUCAUCAUGGCCCUUACGGGUAGGGCUACACACGUGCUACAAUGGUUGAUACAGAGGGCAGGCGAAGGGGCGACCGUGGAGCAAAUCGUUAGAAAGUCAAUCGUAGUCGGAUUGG
rnacentral:rRNA from 1 species